GUUAUAGGGUCAAGCGAAUAAGUGCAUGUGGUGGAUGCCUUGGCGAUUACAGGCGAUGAAGGACGCGAUAGCCUGCGAAAAGUUGUGGGGAGCUGGCAAAUAAGCAUUGAUCCACAAAUGUCCGAAUGGGGAAACCCGGCCUUUUAGGUCAUCCUAGACUGAAUACAUAGGUCUAGCGAAGCGAACGCGGCGAACUGAAACAUCUAAGUAGCUGCAGGAAAAGAAAUCAACCGAGAUUCCCAAAGUAGUGGCGAGCGAAAUGGGACCAGCCUUCAAGAUUUAGCACCGGUGUUAUCAGAACGGAAUGGAAAGUCCGGCCAUAGUGGGUGAUAGCCCCGUAUGAGAAAACCCUGGUGUGGAACUAAGCUUGAGAUAAGUAGGGCGGGACACGUGAAAUCCUGUCUGAAGAUGGGGGGACCAUCCUCCAAGGCUAAAUACUCGUAAUCGACCGAUAGUGAACCAGUACCGUGAGGGAAAGGCGAAAAGAACCCCGGGAGGGGAGUGAAAUAGAUCCUGAAACCGCAUGCAUACAAACAGUCGGAGCCUCGUAAGGGGUGACGGCGUACCUUUUGUAUAAUGGGUCAGCGACUUACAUUCAGUGGCAAGCUUAACCGAAUAGGGAAGGCGUAGCGAAAGCGAGUCCGAAUAGGGCGUUCAGUCGCUGGGUGUAGACCCGAAACCAAGUGAUCUAUCCAUGGCCAGGAUGAAGGUGCGGUAACACGUACUGGAGGUCCGAACCCACUAAUGUUGAAAAAUUAGGGGAUGAGCUGUGGAUAGGGGUGAAAGGCUAAACAAACUUGGAAAUAGCUGGUUCUCUCCGAAAACUAUUUAGGUAGUGCCUCGUGUAUCACCUUCGGGGGUAGAGCACUGUCAUGGUUGAAGGGUCCAUUGCGGAUUACUUCGCCAUAGCAAACUCCGAAUACCGAAGAGUGCAAUCACGGGAGACAGACAUCGGGUGCUAACGUCCGGUGUCAAGAGGGAAACAACCCAGACCGCCAGCUAAGGUCCCUAAAUAUUGCUAAGUGGGAAACGAAGUGGGAAGGCUAAAACAGUCAGGAGGUUGGCUUAGAAGCAGCCACCCUUUAAAGAAAGCGUAAUAGCUCACUGAUCGAGUCGUCCUGCGCGGAAGAUGUAACGGGGCUAAGCAAUAUACCGAAGCUGCGGAUGCGAGCUUGCUCGCAUGGUAGGAGAGCGUUCUGUAAGCCUGUGAAGGUGUCUUGUAAAGGAUGCUGGAGGUAUCAGAAGUGCGAAUGCUGACAUGAGUAGCGAUAAAGGGGGUGAAAGGCCCCCUCGCCGUAAGCCCAAGGUUUCCUACGCAACGUUCAUCGGCGUAGGGUGAGUCGGCCCCUAAGGCGAGGCAGAGAUGCGUAGCUGAUGGGAAGCAGGUUAAUAUUCCUGCACCGUCGUAUGAUGCGAUGGGGGGACGGAUCGCGGAAGGUUGUCCGGGUGUUGGAAGUCCCGGUCCCUGCAGUGGAGAAGGCGCUUAGGCAAAUCCGGGCGCGUAAUUCAAGGCUGUGGGGCGAGCGAACUUGUUCGCGAAGCAAUUGGAAGUGGUUCCAAGAAAAGCCUCUAAGCUUCAGUCAUACGAGACCGUACCGCAAACCGACACAGGUGGGCGAGAUGAGUAUUCUAAGGCGCUUGAGAGAACUCGGGAGAAGGAACUCGGCAAAUUGGUACCGUAACUUCGGGAUAAGGUACGCCCUUGUAGCUUGACUGGCCUGCGCCAGAAGGGUGAAGGGGUUGCAAUAAACUGGUGGCUGCGACUGUUUAAUAAAAACACAGCACUCUGCAAACACGAAAGUGGACGUAUAGGGUGUGACGCCUGCCCGGUGCCGGAAGAUUAAAUGAUGGGGUGCAAGCUCUUGAUUGAAGUCCCGGUAAACGGCGGCCGUAACUAUAACGGUCCUAAGGUAGCGAAAUUCCUUGUCGGGUAAGUUCCGACCUGCACGAAUGGCGUAACGAUGGCCACACUGUCUCCUCCCGAGACUCAGCGAAGUUGAAGUGUUUGUGAUGAUGCAAUCUACCCGCGGCUAGACGGAAAGACCCCAUGAACCUUUACUGUAGCUUUGCAUUGGACUUUGAACCGGUCUGUGUAGGAU
rnacentral:rRNA from 1 species